AGAAGUCCUUGCUGCAUCAAUUAAUAAGAAGCAAAAUUUUAUUCCAUUAGUACUACAAAGCAUUUAAAACUCAAUUAUCAACACUUGCGGUUGCAGCACCAAGAUAUCAAAUACCUUGCGAACUUUUCCUUUCUCACCAUAAUAAGAAAUCACAGGUGGACUAGACUCCAAGAAAAUCUUAAAUCGCUUCUUUAUUGUUUCAAUCUUGUCAUCCUCUCUACCCUGGUUGGAG